rnacentral:tRNA from 1 species
AUCAGUGAGGCUGGGUUAAAGCAUCUGCCUGCAAUGCGGGAGACCCAGGUUCGACCCCUGGGUCUGAUC